GCGACUAAGGCGCUCGUACUAAGGGCGUAUCGUAUAAGCAAAUAGCGUGCAAUAGGCUAUGUAGGCCGCUAUAUCUCUGUCGCUACUAAGCUAGAAAGGCGAGUUCUAGCGAGUUAGAAAGAGGAAAUUAAAGAGGCCUACCCUACGUAGUAGGAACGUAGCGUAGGCGCUAUAUAUAAGUGGUGUAUAUAGAGGUAGAGGAACCACUUGCCCUUAGUAGCAAAGCGCUAAGUGCUCCUUCGGUGUUUAAUGACGAAGAAGAUAGGCUUAGCCUACUUAAAUAUAUGUGAUUAGAGGGCUAGACCCCCUAGCAACGAAUGUAAUGUACUAAAACAAAUAGAAAAACUAGGUCCCUAUGUCUAAGAGGUUUAUUACCCUAAUUCAAUAAGACGUAUAGUUCUAUUUUAUUAAUUUUUAGAACUACUAUAAUAAUUAAUAGGGAUAGUUGAGAGUAUUAGUAUUCAAUUGUUAGAGGUGAAAUUCUUAGAUUUAUUAAAGACUAACUAUUGUAAAAGCAUUUGCUAAGGAUAUUUUCAUUAAUUAAGAACGAAAGUUAAGGGAUUAAAGACGAUUAGAUACCAUUGUAGUCUUAACUAUAAACUAUACUAAUUAGGGAUUGGAUAGCGUUAUUUUUUAACUUGUUUAGCACUUUACAAUAAAUUAAAAUGUUUAGGCUCCU
rnacentral:ncRNA from 1 species